GAUGAAGAACGCAGCGAAUUGCGAUAAGUAGUGUGAAUUGCAGAAUUCAGUGAAUCAUCGAAUCUUUGAACGCACAUUGCGCCCUUUGGUAUUCCAAAGGGCAUGCCUGUUCGAGCGUCAUUUGUACCCUCAAGCUUUGCUUGGUGUUGGGCGUCUUGUCUCUAGCUUUGCUGGAGACUCGCCUUAAAGUAAUUGGCAGCCGGCCUACUGGUUUCGGAGCGCAGCACAAGUCGCACUCUCUAUCAGCAAAGGUCUAGCAUCCAUUAAGCCUUUUUUUCAACUUUUGACCUCGGAUCAGGUAGGGAUACCCGCUGAACUUAAGCAUAUCAAUAAGCGGAGGA
rnacentral:misc_RNA from 1 species